UUGCAGCAUCUUGUCAGUUGUUUGUUGUGUUUGAAUGCUGAGAUGAAUUCAAUGUGAAUAGAAAUCUGUUUUGGUUCAAGAACUGUGCUGUGACUGAGCUCCAUUUUAAGGUAGGUUUAACAGAACAAACAAAACUGACGUCCUGCCUCCGGUUCCACAUUUGAUUUUUGUCCUUCACUUUCCCUGCAAAUGGUCCAGAACCUGCCCCAGCCUGGAGGUUGACCACCCUCAGCCAGGCAUUAGAACAUCACAUCAGUCAGACCAACCUCAGGUCAGUCUUUUUUUAUUCUGGGCUGUUCUGGGUGUUUAUAUUCUGUGCAGAAUACGCGGUUCCUCGCUUUGACCGAGCCGUCUGCAAGUCAUCGUCUGCUCCUUGUGGUGGAGCUCAGUGAAAGGCCGUCUCGCUGACGCUGACAUGAGUCACGCAGAACAUGCACAUGGACUACACCCACCCUUAAUGAAACAAAUGAUCCCAGAGUCUGUGUCUCUCGCUGCCCCGCAGAUGUAAGCAAAUGCUCUUAUGACGCAGGUCACGGAGCAGGUGGCUGAGUUUGGGAGCAAUGGUCCAAAAAGAAAACAGGUCCAUUUCCAGCUUUUGAAAUUCAAAGAGGAAAAAAAGAGAAACACUCGCUGGAAGAUGCUUUGAUUUUAAAUGAAGACGACUGUUUUUAUUUUCCCUCCUAGAAUAUUAGAGGAUGACAGGAGCUGUAUCCAGACUGGAUUUUAUUUUAAUUUGUUCUGUUGGUUGUUUUUGUAGACAUCUGGACCUUUUCUCUGUUUAUUCUUCUCAUCUCUUUCCAAAUGUCAUACAUAUGUUUAGAAUAAACCACGGGGUGGGUGACGGACUUAACAUGUGGACGAAAAUAGACCCAUUUUAGGUCGAGGGAGCGUUUGACCCUCAGUCAUGUUAAAGUCAGUCUUAAUGCUUUUGGAGAACGAUCACUGGUGACGACCUAUUUAAAAAUAGAGUUGGGAUUUUGAUGUCAGCUGCCAAGUACAGAACAGUUUUAUGUCCGCAUUAAAAAUGAUAAUGUGAAAAUUGCAUCAACAAAUAGAAACAAUACCAAAACCUCAGAAAGCAAUUAAAUCUGCCUUGUCAGAGUACAGGCGUUUACAACAUCUGGCUCCUGGGCCAACUGCAGGUCUUCAGCCUCUUUCCUUGACUUCACGCAAGAAUGAUGCACAAAAUCUUUUACGAAGAUUUGAAUCACAUCAAUUUUACACUUACUACACUAAAUGUUUACCUUUCUUGCUAACAGCAAAUAUAAACCAUGUCACUCUACCUGCUUACAGGUGUGGAGUUUUAGCGGAGAGUCAGACCAUGCUGCACCAAUGUUGUGUUUGAGUGAAUUAUUCCCUGCAGGUUAAAUAACAAUGAAUUAUCAACAUCUUUCUUUCUCAGUACUUAAAACUUACACACAUACAGCACCGUCCUUAAAACGGUCGAAAUCUGUUUGCAGCUCUCAAUGAAUUUCAUUUGGUUGUAAAAUGACAAAAUGAUGACCAAAACUUUUUUUUUCUUUUAAAGUUGGUUCCAGUAGAACCGGGUCGUGAACCUCUUAUCGUGAUGUAAAUAGAAAAGCUGCGUUUGGCAGAAGUGCUGGAAAAACAGAUGAUGACGAGGGUCGUUUUUUCUGAGCCGUCACAGUUUUUAUGGAUUGUUGUGAGUUUUCUUUCUCUCCAGAUGAGCACAAAUAGAUGCACUUAACUGUAGUUCAUACAUGAUAAAUGACCUGAGACAAUCUCAAAGUCUGAUAGUUUCCAUUUCUCUCUCCCUGUUCAUGCUUGUUUUCUGGCAUUCGUUGGACCGCUCCCUCUUCCUGAACUGCCCUGUUACAGAAGAAUUUCUGCUAGUAUGGAUCAUACUUUCUAUGAUGAUGACAAUGAUGAUAUUAAAGGUUAAAAUGAAACAUCUUUCAUAGACAACAUGGACAAAGAAUUCAUUUUCAUUAUUUGAGUCAAAGUAAAAAUGUAAUACGUGACACACAAAGAAUGAAUGUGAUUUCAAUUAUGCAAAAAGUAAACAUUUGGCCUUUUUUCUUCUCAUUAUUUUCCCAUUCAUGAUGUGUCAUUUUUCCACAUUAGAUCUCCACCAUGACCUAAAGAUUAUCAGAUGUUUCCCAAAGAGUCUAUGAACAUUGUGAGUCAGUGAAAUCAAAUCUUAAAAACCAACGCUGCUUCCUUUGAAAUGAAACACUUUAUUGUUCCAGCCGUGCCUUGCUGCACUUACAGCACAGUUCCUUUGGCUCUGAUCUGGAUCUCUACUAACAUCACUUUAAUCAAAGGUCCAUCACUGCUUGCUUAACUCCUUUCAAAUGCACAUUCCAAGAAGAUGAACUUGAGGCCGUGCUGAGUGGCAGCCACAGCUCUGCUUAAAGGACGACACAUAGCACAUGGCAGAUAAUUGUUCCUAUCCUCCCAUUUCCCCGGGAAGAUGGAUUAGACCACUUCCGAAAAAAAAAAAAAAAUCACUCUCCCAGUCUGGAGCAUGAAUGCUGCCUGUUUCUGCCCUUUUAACAGGCUCAGAUUAUUUAAUCGAUAACAGUGACCCUUCCCUCGUGGAAUGGUGACCACAUGAAAGCGUGCACGGCUUUGCUAAUCAAGGAUCCAGAAGAUCGUUCCUGUCUCUGCGUCAAAGGAUGUCCCCCCUUUGCCCUGGGUGGUGGGUGACACACACACACACACACACAAUGUCACUGCUGGUGCAAUUUUCUUUUUUUUUCUUUUUUUUUUCCCCCAAGUCAUCUUAAAAAAGACGUUAAAGCCUGAAGUUUCACGCCAGACAAUCGCGGAGCGGAGGAAUUCCACGGCCGUGUCUCAGAGAGUUCAGAUCAGUAUGCAGUGAACUACAUCAGUGGUUUGUGAAAACACCUUCACCUCCUGGCAUCAAAUGUUUUGGCUGGAGCUGGAGAAUUUUGGUUUUGGAAAAGAGGGAAGAAGUUAUUGUCGAGUCAGAGCUGAAACUCUGUGACCUUUCCAGCACUUCAAUCAAUGGACAACAAGGAUUCUUGGUUAUAGGCAGAAAGACCUGUGCCAGCACUUAACGCCAACAGACCAGUCAUUUACAGAAGGAAAUCGUUUACCGCACAUUAACUCUGGCCACAGCAUGUCAGCCAUUUACGCAGGUAUGUAGAUGCUAACAUGCUAUGGAAGUUGUUGUCGAGUGCCAGAAGACGUUUUGAAAGAAGACGAGUGAAAUAUAGCCGUAGUGUGCACUACACAUGUAAUAGCACUACAAAUACAUGCUGUUGUUGUCACUUGAUAUAAAAAACAAACAAGAACAAGAGAUCCUCGGUUUACGACGUCCUCAUCCGAUGGCGUCUCAAGGUAAAGUUGCCCGUAGAUAAAUUUAUUGAGACAUUUUCAUUACAUCAUUCAGACGGACCUCGUUAAAACAGCGUUUUGCACUUGGAAUUAGUUGGACGAAUAUGUUGCCACAAGUCAUUGUUGGCGCCUUUGUUGUGUGUUAAAAAUGUUAGUCUGGUUCAUUUCAAUAAUUCAUUCUACCUUUAUUUUCACAGCCAUUCACAGUUUAAAUGCAUUGGUUCCUAAUACACAACUCCAGGAACAGGUUACCUCUAAUCAGCUCCACUAGUCACAGCUGCCACCUGUGUUUUCCCUCCACCAGCCUCUGCAACAAUCAGCCUCAUCACUCACACCUGUCCACCUGACUAUAAAUACACACCACUCUCAGGCGCCACCAUUUUGUCAUUGUUGAUUCAGUGUGGGUUUCAUGGGGUUGUGCUUGAACUGUGCUCUUUGUGUUACUGUGUUGUUUGGAGUUUUAUGUUUGUUUCUUUUGGGUUUGUUUGGUUUUAUUUUUCAUUGAAGUUGAAGCUGCAGUGUUUUAUAAGGAUGAUUUUUAUU